GACGAACCGUGCGAACGUUAUUCGGAAUCACUGGGCUUAAAGCGCGUGUAGGCGGAUGGGGACGUCGGUCGCUGAAAUCCCCCGGCUCAACCGGGGAACGGGCGCCGAAACGCCCCGUCUCGAGGGACGUAGGGGGACCUGGAACUUCCGGUGGAGCGGUGAAAUGCGUUGAGAUCGGAAGGAACACCUGUGGCGAAAGCGGCUCACUGGACCAUAACUGACGCUGAGGCGCGAAAGCUAGGGGAGCAAACAGG
rnacentral:rRNA from 1 species